UACGUAUGGAGCAAGCGUUAUCCGGAUUUACUGGGUGUAAAGGGAGUGUAGGUGGCAUCACAAGUCAGAAGUGAAAGCCCGGGGCUCAACCCCAGGACUGCUUUUGAAACUGUGGAGCUGGAGUGCAGGAGAGGCAAGUGGAAUUCCUAGUGUAGCGGUGAAAUGCGUAGAUAUUAGGAGGAACACCAGUGGCGAAGGCGGCUUGCUGGACUGUAACUGACACUGAGGCUCGAAAGCGUGGGGAGCAAACAGG
rnacentral:rRNA from 1 species